rnacentral:rRNA from 1 species
UUUAUGGAGAGUUUGAUCCUGGCUCAGAGUGAACGCUGGCGGCGUGCCUAAUACAUGCAAGUCGAACGAUGAAGCUUCUAGCUUGCUAGAGUGCUGAUUAGUGGCGCACGGGUGAGUAACGCAUAGGUUAUGUGCCUCUUAGUUUGGGAUAGCCAUUGGAAACGAUGAUUAAUACCAGAUACUCCCUACGGGGGAAAGAUUUAUCGCUAAGAGAUCAGCCUAUGUCCUAUCAGCUUGUUGGUAAGGUAAUGGCUUACCAAGGCUAUGACGGGUAUCCGGCCUGAGAGGGUGAACGGACACACUGGAACUGAGACACGGUCCAGACUCCUACGGGAGGCAGCAGUAGGGAAUAUUGCUCAAUGGGGGAAACCCUGAAGCAGCAACGCCGCGUGGAGGAUGAAGGUUUUAGGAUUGUAAACUCCUUUUGUUAGAGAAGAUAAUGACGGUAUCUAACGAAUAAGCACCGGCUAACUCCGUGCCAGCAGCCGCGGUAAUACGGAGGGUGCAAGCGUUACUCGGAAUCACUGGGCGUAAAGAGCGCGUAGGCGGGAUAGUCAGUCAGGUGUGAAAUCCUAUGGCUUAACCAUAGAACUGCAUUUGAAACUACUAUUCUAGAGUGUGGGAGAGGUAGGUGGAAUUCUUGGUGUAGGGGUAAAAUCCGUAGAGAUCAAGAGGAAUACUCAUUGCGAAGGCGACCUGCUGGAACAUUACUGACGCUGAUUGCGCGAAAGCGUGGGGAGCAAACAGGAUUAGAUACCCUGGUAGUCCACGCCCUAAACGAUGGAUGCUAGUUGUUGGAGGGCUUAGUCUCUCCAGUAAUGCAGCUAACGCAUUAAGCAUCCCGCCUGGGGAGUACGGUCGCAAGAUUAAAACUCAAAGGAAUAGACGGGGACCCGCACAAGCGGUGGAGCAUGUGGUUUAAUUCGAAGAUACACGAAGAACCUUACCUAGGCUUGACAUUGAGAGAAUCCGCUAGAAAUAGUGGAGUGUCUAGCUUGCUAGACCUUGAAAACAGGUGCUGCACGGCUGUCGUCAGCUCGUGUCGUGAGAUGUUGGGUUAAGUCCCGCAACGAGCGCAACCCCCUUUCUUAGUUGCUAACAGGUCAUGCUGAGAACUCUAAGGAUACUGCCUCCGUAAGGAGGAGGAAGGUGGGGACGACGUCAAGUCAUCAUGGCCCUUACGCCUAGGGCUACACACGUGCUACAAUGGGGUGCACAAAGAGAAGCAAUACUGCGAAGUGGAGCCAAUCUUCAAAACGCCUCUCAGUUCGGAUUGUAGGCUGCAACUCGCCUGCAUGAAGCUGGAAUCGCUAGUAAUCGCAAAUCAGCCAUGUUGCGGUGAAUACGUUCCCGGGUCUUGUACUCACCGCCCGUCACACCAUGGGAGUUGUGUUUGCCUUAAGUCAGGAUGCUAAAUUGGCUACUGCCCACGGCACACACAGCGACUGGGGUGAAGUCGUAACAAGGUAACCGUAGGUGAACCUGCGGUUGGAUCACCUCCUUUCUAGA